rnacentral:rRNA from 1 species
UUUGAUCCUGGCUCAGAACGAACGUUGGCGGCGUGCUUAACACAUGCAAGUCGAGCGCGAAAUUCAACUUCGGUUGGAGAGUAGAGCGGCGCACGGGUGAGUAACACGUGAAUAAUCUGCCUCAAAGCCCGGGAUAACCAUUGGAAACGGUGGCUAAUACCGGAUAAGCCCCCACUAUCGUCGGAUGGAGAGGGAAAAGUUCAGGCGCUUUGAGAUGAGUUCGCGUCCCAUUAGGUAGUUGGUGAGGUAACGGCUCACCAAGCCGAAGAUGGGUAGCUGGUCUGAGAGGAUGAUCAGCCACACUGGAACUGAGACACGGUCCAGACUCCUACGGGAGGCAGCAGUGGGGAAUAUUGCGCAAUGGGCGAAAGCCUGACGCAGCAACGCCGCGUGAGUGACGAAGGCCCUUGGGUCGUAAAGCUCUGUCAAGAGGGACGAAGCAAGUGACGGUACCUCUAAAGGAAGCACUGGCUAACUCCGUGCCAGCAGCCGCGGUAAUACGGAGAGUGCAAACGUUGUUCGGAAUCAUUGGGCGUAAAGCGCGCGUAGGUUGUGUAUCAGGUCGAGUGUGAAAGCCCAGGGCUCAACCCUGGAACUGCGCUCGAAACCGGUACGCUAGAGUCCCUAAGGGAGAAGCGGAACUCUUGGUGUAGGGGUGAAAUCCGUAGAUAUCAGGAGGAACACCAGAGGCGAAGGCGGCUUCUUGGUAGGGUACUGACACUGAGGUGCGAAAGCGUGGGUAGCAAACAGGAUUAGAUACCCUGGUAGUCCACGCCGUAAACGAUGCUCACUAGUGAUGGAGGUAUUGACCCCUUCAUUGCCGUAGUUAACGCGUUAAGUGAGCCGCCUGGGAGUACGGUCGCAAGAUUAAACUCAAAGGAAUUGACGGGGGCCCGCACAGCGGUGGAGCAUGUGUUUAAUUCGAAGCAACGCGCAGAACCUUACCCUGGGUUUGACAUUCUGUGGAAUCUCAGAAACGGAUGAGUGCCCCUCGGGGAGCCGCAGACAGUGCUGCAUUGCUGUCGUCAGCUUCGUGUCUGAGAAUGUUUGAUAAGUUCCCGCAACGAUCGCACCCUCGGUCUAAGUUGCCAGCAGUUAAGCUGGUCACUCUAAGGAACUGCCUUCGUAUGAGAAGUAGGUAGGAACAAUCGUCAGUCACUCACUGUGC